UCCUGGCUCAGGAUUAACGCUAGCGGCAGGCAUAAUACAUGCAAGUUGAACGAGAUUAGUUUAGCAAUAGACUAUGAAAGUGGCGCACGGGUGCGUAACACGUAUGCAACCUGCCCUUGACUGGAGAAUAGCCUCUCGAAAGAGAGAUUAAUGUUCCAUAACAUAUAGAUUAAGCAUUUAAUUUAUAUCAAAGCUCCGGCGGUCAAGGAUGGGCAUGCGGUUGAUUAGCUAGUUGGUGAGGUAACGGCUCACCAAGGCGACGAUCAAUAGGGGGUCUGAGAGGAUGUCCCCCCACACUGGUACUGAGACACGGACCAGACUCCUACGGGAGGCAGCAGUAGGGAAUAUUGGUCAAUGGAGGCAACUCUGAACCAGCCAUGCCGCGUGCAGGAAGACUGCCCUAUGGGUUGUAAACUGCUUUUGUACGGGAAGAAAUGUUACUACGUGUAGUAACUUGACGGUACCGUAAGAAUAAGGAUCGGCUAACUUCGUG
rnacentral:rRNA from 1 species